rnacentral:rRNA from 1 species
UACACGACUUUUGGCAACGGAUAUCUAGGCUCUUGCAUCGAUGAAGAACGUAGCAAACUGCGAUACUUGGUGUGAAUUGCAGAAUCCCGUGAACCAUCGAGUCUUUGAACGCAAGUUGCGCCCGAAGCCAUUAGGCCGAGGGCACGUUUGCCUGGGCGUCACGC